GCCGCCGGAAGUGCAGUGAGUGCGCGCGAACGUCAACCGUCAAAGUGGGGUUCUGGAUCAAGCCAAGCUCUACAACAUGGGGCCGCUGAUCAAACUGGUGAAAGAGAGCAAAGCGAGAUUAACAGAUAUAAUGCUAAACCUGGAGUGAGAGACACACAGAGUAGGACAGACAUGCUGAGCUCAGUCUGGUGUCCGAAUG